GUUCCUUCUGCCUCGGCCUCCCAAAAUACUGGGAUUACAAGCGUGAGCCACUGUGCCCAGUCUGCAGAGCUGGGUUUUGAAUUCACAGAGCCAGGCCCCAGACCUGAGGCUGAAUAAGGAAGAGAUGAAAUGGGGAAGUCAACAAGAAGUGGGAUCACCUAACGUGUCCGGGGUGGGAAACGGGGGCUCUUGGUGUACAACCCUGGCCCACCUGGGGCAUCCCCCACCGCCAGGUCCCCUGCCGAUGGAGGCCAUUGAGAAGAUGGCCAGCCUGUGCAUGAGAGACCCGGAUGAGGAUGAGGAGGAGGGCACGGAUGAGGAUGACUUGGAGGCUGAUGAUGACCUGCUGGCGGAGCUAAAUGAGGUCCUUGGAGAGGAGCAGAAGGCUUCAGAGACCCCACCUCCUGUGGCCCAGCCAAAGCCUGAGGCCCCCCAUCCGGGGCUGGAGGCCACCUUGCAGGAGAGGCUGGCGCUCUAUCAGACAGCAAUUGAAAGCGCCAGGCAAGCUGGAGACAGCGCCAAGAUGCGGCGCUACGACCGGGGGCUUAAAGUAAGUGGGCAGAGGGCAGGGUACAGG
rnacentral:lncRNA from 1 species